AUUGAACGCUGGCGGCAUGCCUUACACAUGCAAGUCGAACGGCAGCACGGGGCAACCUGGUGGCGAGUGGCGAACGGGUGAGUAAUGCAUCGGAACGUACCUUUCAGUGGGGGAUAACAUAGCGAAAGUUACGCUAAUACCGCAUAUUCUGUGAGCAGGAAAGCAGGGGAUCGCAAGACCUUGCGCUGAUUGAGCGGCCGAUGUCAGAUUAGCUAGUUGGUGAGGUAAAGGCUCACCAAGGCGACGAUCUGUAGCGGGUCUGAGUGGAUGAUCCGCCACACUGGAACUGAGACACGGUCCAGACUCCUACGGGAGGCAGCAGUGGGGAAUUUUGGACAAUGGGGGCAACCCUGAUCCAGCCAUGCCGCGUGAGUGAAGAAGGCCUUCGGGUUGUAAAGCUCUUUCGGCCGGGAAGAAAUCGCACGGGCUAAUACCCUGUGUGGAUGACGGUACCGGAAUAAGAAGCACCGGCUAACUACGUGCCAGCAGCCGCCGUAAUAC
rnacentral:rRNA from 1 species